rfam:Bombyx mori DNA, contig: Bm_scaf28_contig18063, strain: p50T/Dazao, build 2, whole genome shotgun sequence.
UUCUUUAAAAAUUGUAUGGAGUUGGAACAGCUUACCUUCGUCUGUCGCUAGGGGCGCUGUUCCAACUCCAUUCAAAUUUGAGUUA